rnacentral:rRNA from 1 species
AUGUUGAAGUAUGAAGUAGAUAUGGAAGACAAAGAAAUGCAACAGGCAGAAUGUUGCGUACUAGAAGAGUUUCCGCCAACUCCGGAGCCAAAAGAACAUAUUAUGCGUGCGGCAACCACACAAGAGCAUGAAGUUAUUGAUAUAUCUAGUAAACGCAAAGAGAUUAUGGAUGUCAGCAGCCACGCCGUCGCCCAACAACCUUGCACAGACCACGAACAAAAUGAUCCACCAAUAGAACCAGAUCAACCACCACCAGACGACAAGAUACCAUACGAUGCCGAAGAGGAGACGGAAGAGCAAAAUAUCAACAGCAAUAUCACAAUCACAGAGCAACUGGAACAAACAUGCACUGAUUUAAAAGAGGAUGACAGAAGCAACGAUGUACCAAAUACACAACAACAGGAAGAAGUUGAUGAAUUUCUUUCAAGCCUUAACCCACUACAACUAGACAUGUACAACAACUAUGUAAAGAUGGGCUAUAAGUUCGAUGUAAUCAAAACAUGGCUGAACGACUAUGAAAGCUAUGAAUUCAACAAAGAUGCCAAGCCAUAUCUGACAAUCUUGCAGCAAGAAUCAGGAGAACAUUCAAUGCCUCAAUCAUCUGAGAAUAGCUCAGACAAAAAAAUCUUGGUCAAGAAAAGGUCGGUAAAGCCUUCAAGAAGGCUCCUUGGAGAAAUCAUGAUUCCUACUUUUGUCUCAGGAGAUUUCAAAUUUAUGAACAAAGCCAGAGCACUCCAUGAAUACUUAUUCAGCAAAGAAGGAUAG